rnacentral:rRNA from 1 species
CCUACGGGAGGCAGCAGUAGGGAAUCUUCGACAAUGGGCGAAAGCCUGAUGGAGCCAUGCCGCGUGGGUGAAGAAGGUCCUCGGAUUGUAAAACCCCGUUGUUAGAGAAGAAAGUGCGGGAGAGUAACUGUUCACGUUUCUACGGUAUCUAACCAGAACGGCACGGCUAACUACGUGACCGCAGCCGCGGGAAUACGUUGGUGGCAUGCGUUAUCCGGAUUUAUUGGGCGUAAAGGGAACGCAGGCGGUAUUUUAAGUGAGAGGUGAAAGCCUUGGGCUUAACCGGUGUAGUGCAUUGGAUACUGGCGGACUAGAGUGCAGAAGAGGUAGGCGGAACGCAAGGUGUAGCGGUGAAAUGCGUAGAUAU